rnacentral:tRNA from 1 species
GGAUAUAGCUCAAUUGGUAGAGUGCUUGCCUUAUAUGCACAAGGCCCUGAGUUCAAUUCUCAGCACCA